rnacentral:rRNA from 1 species
UACGUAGGCAGCAAGCGUUGUUCGGAAUUACUGGGCGUAAAGAGUGUGUAGGCGGUGCUCUAAGUUCGUUGUGAAAUCUCCCGGCUUAACUGGGAGGGUGCGGCGGAAACUGGAGUGCUUGAGCGCGGGAGAGGAAAGCGGAAUUCCUGGUGUAGCGGUGAAAUGCGUAGAUAUCAGGAGGAACACCUGCGGUGUAGACGGCUUUCUGGACCAUUGUUGACGCUGAGACACGAAAGCGUGGGUAGCAAACAGG